rnacentral:rRNA from 1 species
CCGCCGGCGACCGGCGCACGGGUGAGUAACACGUAUGCAACCUGGCCGUGACAGAUGGAUAACCGGGAGAAAUCCCGCCUAAUACAACAUAAUGCCGGGAGGGGACAUCCCCUGCCGGCCAAAGGGGGCGACCCCGGUCACGGAUGGGCAUGCGGCGCAUUAGGUAGUUGGUGGGUAACGGCCCACCUAACCGACGAUGCGUAGGGGUUCUGAGAGGAAGGUCCCCCACACUGGUACUGAGACACGGACCAGACUCCUACGGAAGGCAGCAG